rnacentral:rRNA from 1 species
AUUGAACGCUGGCGGCAGGCCUAACACAUGCAAGUCGAACGAGUGGCGGACGGGUGAGUAAUGUCUGGGAAACUGCCCGAUGGAGGGGGAUAACUACUGGAAACGGUAGCUAAUACCGCAUACCAUCGGAUGUGCCCAGAUGGGAUUAGCUAGUAGGUGGGGUAAAGGCUCACCUAGGCGACGAUCCCUAGCUGGUCUGAGAGGAUGACCAGCCACACUGGAACUGAGACACGGUCCAGACUCCUACGGGAGGCAGCAGUGGGGAAUAUUGCACAAUGGGCGCAAGCCUGAUGCAGCCAUGCCGCGUGUAUGAAGAAGGCCUUCGGGUUGUAAAGUACUUUCAGCGAGGAGGCGUUACGCGCAGAAGAAGCACCGGCUAACUCCGUGCCAGCAGCCGCGGUAAUUC